rnacentral:rRNA from 1 species
UACAGAGGGGGCAAGCGUUAUUCGGAAUUACUGGGCGUAAAGCGUGCGCAGGCGGUUUUGUAAGACUGUCGUGAAAUCCCCGGGCUUAACCUGGGAAUGGCGAUGGUGACUGCAAGGCUAGAGUUUGGCAGAGGGGGGUAGAAUUCCACGUGUAGCAGUGAAAUGCGUAGAGAUGUGGAGGAACACCGAUGGCGAAGGCAGCCCCCUGGGUCAAAACUGACGCUCAUGCACGAAAGCGUGGGGAGCAAACAGG